GGGGACCGCACGUGUGAUAAUCAAACCAACUAACAAAUCUUUAAAGUAUUGAAGUAGCAUGGCUUGGUAUCCAGUAAAAACCACCGUAGUUUUACUACUCCUCAUCCAGCCAAUUGUCUCCAAACACACUCACCCAACACAUAACACGCAUGCUCAUCACACGCAUGCGCCUCACACAACCAAUGCUGCAUCAGUCGCAACGACGACGUCAUCAAAAAAUCCACCAAUCAGAACGUCUACUAGGAUUACAGAUAUACUCUCUACACAGCUGA